GUCCCUGUAGCUCAGUGGUAGAGCGUGAGAUUGCAAAUCUUGAGGCCCCGUGUUCGAACCACGGCGGGGACU